UCUGGUCUAGCCAGACGAGAGCACGAACCACCGGCAAGAUGUCGGCGUCUUUCAUGGCUCAGAUGUUGGACGAACUCAUGGGGCGAGAUCGAAACCUCGCGCCCAACGAGAAGAAGGAAGACAUACACUGGAGCGACGAGAAGGUCUGCAAACACUUCCUAUGCAGUUUCUGCCCGUCUGAGCUGUUCACCAACACUCGCUCAGACCUGGGGCCCUGUGACAAGAUUCACGAUGAUGCUCUCAGAGACGGGUACAGAAAGAGUUCACGGUUCCAGCGCAUGGGUUACGAGGAGGAUUUCCUGCGCUAUCUGCAGAGCUGCAUGGCAGAUGUGGAGCGACGAAUCAGGAGGGGCCAUGCCCGCCUCGCGCUCAGCGAACAGCAAGCACAAGUCGCUCAGGGCGGUGGAGGAAUCAUCAAGAAUGAAGAGAAGAUACAGAUGUUGACAGAUCGAAUAAACGGACUGUUGGAACAGGUGGAACAGCUAGGUUGUGAGGGGAAGGUGGAAGAGGCACAGGGAGUCAUGAAGCUGUGUGACCAGCUCAAAGAGGAGAGAGAACAACUACGGCAGGCCAACAAAUCUAGCAUUGACAGUAUGACAGCCCAGGAGAAGCAGAUGGAAGUGUGUGAGACCUGUGGAGCGUUCCUGAUCGUGGGGGACGCCCAGUCUCGUGUGGAUGACCAUCUCAUGGGCAAACAACACAUGGGUUAUGCCAAGAUCAAGGCCACCAUCGAAGAGUUAAAAGCUAAAACUGUUAGGGGUGUUCCAGUUGAUCCAGAGAGGGAACAAAAGCGUCAGAAGGAGAGAGAGGAGCGAGAGAAAGAGCUUGAAAAGGAGAGAGAAGAGCGAGAGAAGGAACGGGAAAGGAGACGCAAGGAGAGGGAGGAGAAAGAGAAGGAGCUGGAGGAGAAGAGAGAGAGGGAAAGAGAGGAGAGGAGGAAGAAGCGCAGUCGCUCCCGCUCCAAGGGUCGCCGCUCAGGGUCGGGGAGCAGAAGGUCACGGUCGCGGGAACGUUCCAAGCGCAGCCGCCGGUCUCGCAGCAAGGAAAGGUCCAGCCGUCACCGCAGUAGAAGUUGUAGUAAGGACAGGGACAGGAAGCGCCGUUCCCGUAGUCAGGAUCGUAAGGAUCGCGACAGAAAGCGUGAGCGCCGCUCCAGGAGUAGGGACCGCAAGCGACGGAGCCGCGAUCGCAGCAGGAGCCGUCACCGGUCACGCAGCGCCGAUCGGGAGGGGGGCAGGAGCAGUAAGGACAGAAGCAGCAGGGACAAGGACAGGAGAAGUCGGGACAAGAGCAGGGACAAGGACAAACACAGCUCUCAGGAGGAGGAGGAGGCUGGUGUUCACCAGGCCAAAGAGGAGGACGCUAACGACGGUGAAGACAGCGCCGAUCCUCGGGGGUCGACAGACCCGGAGGAUCCGGACAUGCACGGUAAAGAGGAGAGCAGCGAGGAGGCCAUGGACGCUAACUCAGCCGACGAGAACGACGCGGACAGCAAGGCCUCAAAUGAAGGUGACACUCACCCUGAUAACUGAGACCCCUCAGUUCUCACUCGGUGAGUGUUUACGGUCCUUUUUGGUGCUAAUUUCAUUUUUUUUUGUUUACUACUACUACUGCAACAACAAACAACAACAACAAGCCUAUCUCUCAGCCAACAGUGUGUAAAUGGGACAGUAAGUAUGCUUGAAUGUGCCGACUACUCUUUGCAUCCAGGAACUCCUUUACAGGAGCAUACAUGGAUCCCACCUCGGAGAGCGGAGACAAGACCGCGGUGGUACCAACACUUCUCCUACACUGCUCCCAGUACAGAUUUGAGAAGUGGCAUAUAGGAGAGAUGGGAGCCAGCCUCGGCGAGGGAAGCACAUCUCACAUCAGUCAUCAGAUCCACAGCACAAGACUGACAUCUUUAGGCAACUACAAAUCACCGAUUGUGCAAAGGUGAUCCUUUUGAGUAGUUAUCAGUUCUUUGUCAAACUAUAUUAAAGUGUCUAUUAAUACUAAUAGUAUAGCCUGUCAGAUACAAUUUGACUGCAUCUCGAGGGUGGUAAAAUACCUACACUUCAUGAUGGAGGGAUAGAGGGUGGGUUUUGUUAAUAGUUCACAUAACAAUCAUUAAGGUAGUCUAAAACCACAAACCAUUCCUCAUAUUUAGUCAUAAAGCUACAUGUACUUAACGGAAGGAAGGGUACAAACUAGGGGUUACUUGUGGAGGGGGGCAUAGACUUGUGAUGCGUUGAAGUUGACAGUAAA